rnacentral:rRNA from 1 species
CGCGUUAAUAGCGGCGUUGUUUGACGUUAGCGACAGAAGAAGCACCGGCUAACUCCGUGCCAGCAGCCGCGGUAAUACGGAGGUGCGAGCGUUAAUCGGAAUUACUGGGCGUAAAGCGCAUGCAGGUGGUUUGUUAAGUCAGAUGUGGAAGACCCGGGGCGUCAACCUCGGAAUUGCAUUUGUAAACUAGGCAGACUAGAGUACUGUAGAGGGGGGUAGGAAUUUCAGGUGUAGCGGUGAAAUGCGUAGAGAUCUGAAGGAAUACCGGUGGCGAAGGCGGCCCCCUCGGACAGAUACUGACACUCAGAUGCGAAAGCGUGGGGAGCAAACAGGAUUAGAUACCCUGGUAG